CAUAAGAGAGACCACAGGCAACAUCUAGGGAAGGAACAAGCUAGUCUGGAGUGACAGCAGAGUCACUGGAAUAUAGACAGUGGUAGGCUAUCUUAACACAUCCUUAGGGGAAUCCGUAAGUAACUUGUAUUCUUCACUCAAAGCAUUCCCAGGGCUGGCCUGGCACCAGCAUUCCUGUGAGGGGGAGUUCUGGACAACUGCCGUGCUGUUACUCGGGGUCUGGAGGCAUCUGAGAAGCAGAAGAGAUGACCCAGGCUCUGAUCAUAAGUGAUGUCAGUUCCAGCAAGGACCAUGUGGCAUCGCGGGGUUAGCAUACAGCCAGGAGCAUGGGCACACCCCGCAGAGGUCUGAGUUGCAGAGGAGAAAGCAGACUGGCUGGCAGAUACGCAGUGCAGAGGAGAAGGCAGCCUCCGGAGUGUGCUGCUGGGUUCCAGAGCCCAUGGAAUUCCCAUUCAGAUGGCACACUGGAACCAGAGUGGAACAAAGCCUGGACGUACCAGUUUUGAGCUUGUUUGACCUGGGCCAGCCGCUGGUGGCAUCUUUGUUUGGGACAUCUUGAUGGGCACAAGAAAAGAGAAAGGAGAAAUGCGUAUGCAUCAAGCUUCAGGCUGGACAUUGUCCUUGUCACAUCUUCUCACGUCUUGUUGGGAGAGCUUCCUGGAGGAGGAACACACGGCAUGGGUCUCUGGAGACAAAGACAAUCGAAAAAAUGUGCUCGUCCAGCGAGACUGCGCGUUUUGAAGAUGAAAGCAUCAGCUUCAGAGGUGACGCUGGAUGAAGCUGAUUCCACCUCAGUUUUCUCCUCUGUUAUUUGGGUUUACUAAUAAAAUAUAUUUGGUAGACUUGCUGUGAAGCUAAAGAUAGCAACACACACAGCUGCUUUGGAAUGGUAAA